rnacentral:rRNA from 1 species
ACUCCUACGGGAGGCAUCAGUAGGGAAUAUUGCACAAUGGGGGAAACCCUGAUGCAGCAAUGCCACGUGAGCGAGGAAGGUCUUCGGAUUGUAAAGCUCUGUCCUAUAGGAAGAAUGGUAUUAUGGUUAAUACCCAUAGUAUUUGACGGUACUAUAGAAGAAAGCACCGGCUAACUCCGUGCCAGCAGCCGCGGUAAUACGGAGGGUGCAAGCGUUGUUCGGAUUUACUGGGCGUAAAGCGCGCGCAGGCGGAUAAGCAAGUCAGAUGUGAAAUCUCGGGGCUCAACCCCGAAACUGCGUCUGAAACUGUUUAUCUAGAGUCUCAUAGGGGGUAGGGGAAUUUCACGUGUAGGGGUAAAAUCCGUAGAGAUGUGAAGGAACACCGGUGGCGAAGGCGCCUACCUGGAUGAGUACUGACGCUGAGGCGCGAAAGCGUGGGGAGCAAACAGGAUUAGAUACCCUGGUAGCUACGAGU